UACGGAGGGGGCUAGCGUUGUUCGGAAUUACUGGGCGUAAAGCGCGCGUAGGCGGACCUGCAAGUCGGGGGUGAAAGCCCGAGGCUCAACCUCGGAACUGCCUUCGAUACUGCGGGUCUCGAGUCCGGGAGAGGUGAGUGGAAUUCCUAGUGUAGAGGUGAAAUGCGCAGAUAUCAGGAAGAACACCCGUGGCUAAGGCGGCUCUCUAGUACGGUACUGACGCUGAGACGGCGAAAGCGUGGGGAGCGAACAGG
rnacentral:rRNA from 1 species